AGAGUUUGAUCCUGGCUCAGGAUGAACGCUGGCGGCGUGCUUAACACAUGCAAGUCGAACGAACCUUCGGGUUAGUGGCGGACGGGUGAGUAACGCGUGAGAAUCUGCCCUCAGGAGGGGGAUAACGGCUGGAAACGGCCGCUGGGAUAACGGCUGGAAACGGCCGCUAAUACCCCAUAUGCCGAGAGGUGAAACGAAAUUCGCCUGAGGAUGAGCCCGCGUCUGAUUAGCUAGUUGGUGGGGUAAAGGCCCACCAAGGCGACGAUCAGUAGCUGGUCUGAGAGGAUGAUCAGCCACACUGGGACUGAGACACGGCCCAGACUCCUACGGGAGGCAGCAGUGGGGAAUAUUGGACAAUGGGCGAAAGCCUGAUCCAGCCAUGCCGCGUGAGUGAAGAAGGCCUUAGGGUUGUAAAACUCUUUCACCGGUGAAGAUGAUGACGGUAGCCGGAGAAGAAGCCCCGGCUAACUCCGUGCCAGCAGCCGCGGUAAUACGGAGGGGGCUAGCGUUGUUCGGAAUUACUGGGCGUAAAGCGCGCGUAGGCGGCAUAUCAAGUCAGAGGUGAAAGGCCUGGGCUCAACCCAGGAACUGCCUUUGAUACUGAUAAGCUAGAAUUCGGGAGAGGGUAGUGGAAUUUCCAGUGUAGAGGUGAAAUUCGUAGAUAUUGGAAAGAACACCAGUGGCGAAGGCGGCUACCUGGACCGAGAUUGACGCUGAGGUGCGAAAGCGUGGGGAGCGAACAGGAUUAGGAAACCCUGGUAGUCCACGCCGUAAACGAUGAGUGCUAGUUGUCGGGCAGCUUGCUGUUCGGUGACGUAGCUAACGCAUUAAGCACUCCGCCUGGGGAGUACGGCCGCAAGGCUAAAACUCAAAGGAAUUGACGGGGGCCCGCACAAGCGGUGGAGCAUGUGGUUUAAUUCGAUGCAACGCGCAGAACCUUACCAGCCCUUGACAUCCUGCGAGCGAGGAGUGGAGACACACCCCUUCGCUUCGGGGAACUGGGUGACAGGUGCUGCAUGGCUGUCGUCAGCUCGUGUCGUGAGAUGUUGGGUUAAGUCCCGCAACGAGCGCAACCCUCAUCCUUAGUUGCCAUCAGGUCAGGCUGGGCACUCUAGGGAAACUGCCGGUGACAAGCCGGAGGAAGGUGGGGAUGACGUCAAGUCCUCAUGGCCCUUACGGGCUGGGCUACACACGUGCUACAAUGGCGGGGACAGAGGGAUGCAAGGGUGCGAGCCUGAGCUAAUCUCAAAAAACCGUCUCAGUUCGGAUUGUUCUCUGCAACUCGAGAGCAUGAAGUUGGAAUCGCUAGUAAUCGCGUAUCAGCAUGACGCGGUGAAUACGUUCCCGGGCCUUGUACACACCGCCCGUCACACCAUGGGAGUUGGUUUUACUCGAAGACGGCGCGCUAACCACGGAGGCAGCCGACCACGGUAAGGUCAGCGACUGGGGUGAAGUCGUAACAAGGUAGCCGUA
rnacentral:rRNA from 1 species